CGCGCGGUUUCUAUCCAAUAAAAGGGCGCGCGAUGUGUUCGCAGUUAUGCGGUGGAAAUGUUUUACCCAGCAUCCCUACUUUUCAUAGGAUUACUGCGUUGUUGUUAAAAAAAAACCAACAACAACGUGUAUUUUGACUGACAUCACCUUCUUGUCCUUUAGGGCGACUAUUAAGCAGAUGUCGAGGUAAAUGGACCAAAAGAAGCACAUUUCUAUUCUACAGUGGAUUUUUCUGGAGAAGUACACAGUGCUCAAAAUUUAUUUGCAUACUCUUAACUCUCUGGUCAGUUGUGGUAAUUUGGUACCUGUUCUGAGAAAAACAUGAUAUUCACACCGUUCUUACACAACCUGCCUGCCUCUCACUGAUGAAAUCCCCAUUACCAGGUAAGUGUGCACUGUGAUUAAAAAAAUCACUGUAUCCAAACCUUCAUUUAGAGAGAUUUGACAAAAGCAGAUAACUUCAGAAAACCAUACGAACUGAUAGUGUAUAGUGUAUUUAUGCAAGUUGUCUAAUUGAAUUGUAUUUUUCUAAAACUAUUUUCAUAUUCAAUAUAAGAUUUGCAAGUAGAUUCAUAUAGGUAAUUCAAAUCAGUCAAGACGUGAAUUUGUAAAGAACCAUAUGAGUAAGCUGAAGCUUGCAUACGGUUAAGCCCAAAACUAUCUUUGAAAUGACUCUUAUGCGGGAGUGAAUUUACAUGAAGUGUGCAAAGUGCAAAAUAACAAGCUAAUAAUAACAAUUUCACGCAUGACUAACUUUCAAUAUUUAUCAUGUUCUAUUUCUGAUGUUAGUUGUUUUUGUAAACCCCCAGGUAUCUGUUCCAUUCAGUAAACGCACAUGUGCUAUUGUACCAGGUGAUCCAAUACUAACAAUAAACUUUUGGUGUAACAAGCAAGAGGACAGUGAAGCAUCUGCUGUCUAUAAGGGUAAAAUUACAGGUUAUGAAAAGAGCCCCAUGGACUUCUGGGAGA